AACUCUGACUUGUAAUCUAACUCAAUUUCUUUCAAUAGCACAUUUUUAUUUAAAAAAAUGACAACUAAAAUGUCACCACAUCUGGGAAAGUUUAUUAAUCUAUCACCCUAGUCUUCUCACUCUAUGUUCCUUUCCAUGAUGACCUCUGUGUACCCUUAAUAUUAAUAAUCUAUCUCAAAUAUGAAAAUAAGUGUUACACCGGGUGCAGUGGCUCAUGCCUUUAAUCCCAGCACUUUGGGAGGCUGAAGCGGGUGGAUCGCCUGAGGUGAGGAGUUCAAGACUAGCCUGACCAACAUGGUGAAACCCCAUCUCUACUAAAAAUACAAAAAUUAGCUGGGCGUGGUGGUGCACACCUGUAAUCCCAGCUACUCAGGAGGCUGAGGCAAGAGAAUUGCUUGAACCCGGGAGGCGGAAGUUGCAGUGAACCGAGAUUGCACCACUGCACUCCAACCUGGGGGACAGAGUGAGACUCCAUCUCAAAAAAAAAAG
rnacentral:lncRNA from 1 species